UCAAUAUUAGGGCAGCCUAUAAAUGAUCAAAUCUGGCUGGACAAACUAGUGGAUGAUGUUAUGAACAUUACCAAACGGCAUCGGGUCACCAUGACACCUGAUUGACAAGGUCACAAUGACACCUGAUCGACCAGGUCACAAUGACACCUGACCGACCAGGUCACAAUGACACCUGACCGACCAGGUCACGAUGACACCUGACCGACCAGGUCACGAUGACACCUGAUCGACCAG